CCUGAUCCAGUGUCUGACAAAAAUGAUUGGAAUUGCAGUUAGAAAGGGGAUCCAGGGUUUCUUGCAGCCUGUCAUGCCUUCAUGUCUUCGACGCUGGAGUGUGUCCGCCCAAAUGGUCUUCCCACUUCAUAACAACUCAAUUGCAAGCAUCCCGCCUCCAAACUGCAGUGUGGAGAAUUUUCAGUGUUGAGAGCUGGUGGUGGACUAGUAGGAAGAUGUCAUGCUAAGGAUGGGUUUUGGUGAUGAUGUUGCUGCUGUUGAUGCAGCAUCGAGCUCUCACUUUGUGCCUCUGUCAGCCUAUGAUGCGUAACCACAAAGUGAGUGACAGGCCAGUCCCCGGGGAGAGCAGGGGGCCUGAGCAAGAGAACUUUCGGCGAUGCUCCGGAAAAUAACUUCCAUUCCAGUCCAAUUUCUGCAUCCCGUCCCAGAAGAGAUGCUUAUUUCUGAGCCUUAUCUACCCAGAUUUCUGACAUUUUGUGCCACAUGCUACGUUUUACCACCAGUAUGAGACUUUUCUGUGGCGUGACGCGGCUAGAGGCCCAAACAAAGACCACUGCUGAUCACUUGACCACCUGAAUCUCACUUCUAGAGAUGAGACAAAUCAUUCCCCCGAUAGAAGCUUUUGUUCCAGGAGAAUGUGCCCAUGCAGCCUUACAGCUUCAGCUAUUGUUCAUGCAUCGGUGUCCCUAUCUGAACUUCAGGGAGCUUCCCUGCCUGUGAAUAUUUUGAUGAAGGUUCCUAUUGAUGCGCUGAAUGAAGGACCAAAACAACAGGCGAAUGUGUGCAUGUGAGGAGGAACAAGAAAAUGAAUGAAGUGUGUGGAGAUGUGUGCGUGCCAGGCAGGAAUAAAAUAAAAGUGAUAGUAAGAUGUGUGUGUGUGUGUGUGUGUGUGUGAGGGAGAGUAGGAGUUAGCGAGUGAGAAAGCUGUGUGUGGAGAAUGGGUUACUGAGGGGCGGGAGGGGGGGAAACCAGCCACCUGCAGCCAUGACAGGCUUUGACCUUCAUUGCUCUCUCUCUCCAGUGUGUCUCCCUCUUUCUCUCACCCCCUCCCUCCCUCCUUCCCUCCCUCUCUCUCUCUCUCUCUCUCCUCCUCUCGACUCCCAUUCCUGCCUCGUGAUAGAAGCGCAGGCUCCUUUCAGAAGCAGCGAGGAAGGCUGACCGUCGUGAAGACAGUGCUGGGAGCAGCCCUAUCUGCUCCAAUGCUAGUCACCGGCCGUUAGACAUGGCGUUCAAAGACUAGCGGUGCAAGUAUGGAAAUGCAGAUAAGGCAUUGUUGAGGAAACAUGCCUGGGAAUUGUUCAAGGCUUUCCCUUGCAUAAUGUUUGGAUGCUUUUGCGAAUGUUUUAAUCUCAAACCCCAUGAAUUUGAUCCUGCAUGAAUGUGAUCCUGAACCGCCUGUAGAACGAGUGGGCGUUUGCAUGGAAGGGAUUGUCAUGCUAUGCAAAUUAUUAAUGUUUGUGAUCACAUUUGUACAUAUUUGACACCUUGGCAACAUUUAUUUAAAACUAUAAUUGUGCAUAUUUCUCUUUUCUUGACUAUUCUAGCCAGUAAUGCGUUUGUUUUUUCGACAUGUUGAUGGCUGCAGAAGCUCAGCAGUGACUGAAGGUCACAGUUACUACUUCAGCCAGACCUCAUUUAUUUUUUCUGUGUAUUUAUGGAAAUCUAUGAACUCUCUGCUUCACACAAAGAUGCUAGAAACUCAUUUGUGUAUAAUC